rnacentral:rRNA from 1 species
UACGAAGGGUGCAAGCGUUACUCGGAAUUACUGGGCGUAAAGCGUGCGCAGGCGGUUUUGUAAGUCUGUCGUGAAAUCCCCCGGGCUCAACCUGGGAAUUGCGAUGGAGACUGCAAGGCUAGAAUCUGGCAGAGGGGGGUAGAAUUCCACGUGUAGCAGUGAAAUGCGUAGAGAUGUGGAGGAACACCGAUGGCGAAGGCAGCCCCCUGGGUCAAGAUUGACGCUCAUGCACGAAAGCGUGGGGAGCAAACGAGG